rnacentral:lncRNA from 1 species
GUUACAGAUGAUGCUGUUGUGACAAGAAUUCUAAAUUGACCAUUUGAGGCAGAAAAUGUGUUCUUUAAUUGACAAACAGGCAUACAGUAAGAUGUGGACUGGAGACAGAGGCUGGAUUGGAUACUGUAUAUAAUCUUGAAUGUUGUAAUGAUUGACUGCUAUACAUUACAUUUAUAGUAUUCUGAUAUGCUUUCAAUAUGUUAUCAAAACAGUUUUAAACAGGUUCUAGGCAUUUUUUUUAUCAGAAAAUAUGCAAAUGGGGUAAGCUGGCAAUAAUUAAAGUCUUGUUUUCAAAUUCUUUAAAAAAUUGAAACAGGGGAGGGGG